rnacentral:rRNA from 1 species
UACAGAGGGUGCGAGCGUUAAUCGGAAUUACUGGGCGUAAAGCGUGCGUAGACGGUUACGUAAGUCGGAUGUGAAAUCCCCGGGCUCAACCUGGGAAUUGCACUCGAGACUGCGUAGCUGGGGUGCGGAAGAGGGAAGCGGAAUUUCCGGUGUAGCGGUGAAAUGCGUAGAUAUCGGAAGGAACACCAGUGGCGAAAGCGGCUUCCUGGUCCGACACCGACGUUCAGGCACGAAAGCGUGGGGAGCAAACAGG